UUCUUAUCCAGAGUGGUGGAGGGACUGGCCCUGUGAAGCCCGGCAACCUCUUUUUUUAAAGAAGGUGCCAAUUCCAGCAGAACAUGAUGUUCUGAAAGAUAAGAA
rnacentral:ncRNA from 18 species